UUUCUUCAAUAGAUAGUAUAGGUUGGUGCAAAAGUAGUUGCAGUUUUUGCCAUUGAAUGUAAUGCCAAAAACUGCAGUUACUUUUGCACCAAACUAAUAAAU
rnacentral:miRNA from 1 species